GAGUAGGAGCUGGUGGAAGCGCAGGGGAGAAAAACCCAGGCUGAGUGGCAUCCAGGGUGGUGUCACAGGACCGGUUUCUGCCAGGAUGCCAAGGAGGUCUCUAAGUAGAACUGUGGAUAUGAGGAAGAAAGGUUGCCAGGCCCAGGGAGCGGUAUGUACAAAACUGCUGAGCAGGGUCAGGGCCUGCCAGUGAGAGGAGUACUUGAGGUGGGUGUGGUUGAGACGAGGGAUGGAGAUGGAGAGCAGAGAGAAAGGGAGCAGGUUCGGCAGUAAAAUCCUUACAGGUACCAUCACACCAGAGACAGCCGGAUGGGAAACAACUCAGACGAGUGUUGAAGGCACACAGCUGGUAACUGGAAGUGCCUGGCUGGACAGCCAUCCACCAUGAUGUCAGGGUUACCAAUUCUGGGUUGCUAACUGUUGCCACGAAGCGAACAAUCUUGGAACUGAUUCUGCCUGUCAGAUGACUGGCUGGGAGCUGAGCCUGCCUGUGAUAUGGUGAGUGGUUACAAAACAUAACCCCCAAAACUCAGGUCUAACCCUACCAUGCUUUUUGGUGGACAUGGGUUCAGGGACCUAUGGUACUGAGUCUACAGGCCUCGGGGCUUUACAAAGGCGGUUCUGUGCAGGGAGGCCCAGAAGGCCAACAAAAACCUCAUACAAGUGAGAAUCCUUGGUUUCCUCCUGCAUCAUUCCUAGGGUCUGGCCCCGCUGUUCCUUUGUGGCAUCCAUCAUGUUUGUAAUCACUUGUUUAACAUCUGCCUGCUUCUCUUGGCUGCAUGUCCUUAUCUCAGCUGGCCUCGUGUGUUCCUGGGUCCCCAGCACUGAGCCGUCUGCUUGGAGCAUAAUGUUUUUAAGGAAAACAAACAGCCUGGCUGGCGGAAGGAACACGGGAACACAUACAUGGAUGCUCUUUGGAGCGGCUUGACUCAGUGACUCCUAAAGGAUCUGUUUCUGACCUAGGCUUGUUGGCCACAGAGCCAGUGUGAUCUUGGGCACACUUUCUCUGUAAAUUGAGGGGGUAAAUGAGAUAAGCGGGGGGCGUAGAACUGGAGCAUCUCAGGAGCCCUGGAGGAACCUGGGCAGCAGGAUUUGGGGGCAAGGGAACCAUAUCAGGAAACGCAAGAAGGUAGCAAGAUACACAAGGGGUUCGGAGACUCCAGGUAUUGGAUGGACGGGAGCUCGUGAUGUGUGGUGGGAUCUAUAUGUGCUAUGGCUGUGUGUGUUGAAUUCAAGUGUGUGACAUAUUACUGUAGAUAGGGAGGUGUGUGCUAGGAAGCGAAGGCACAGAGAGGGUAACCUUUUCACUGAUCUUCUUGGGGUGGGUAGUUUCAGUUCCUGUCACUUUGAAUAUCUAUGCCCCUUGGUCUCUGCCUUUCCAACCCUCACAGGGAACUAAGUGGGCCAGAUGCUGGGUGAUUUGUGGCAAAAAAAAAAAAAAAGAAGAAGAAGAAGAAGAUACAAUUUUUGCCUCUCAGGAAAGACCCUCAUAAAUCCAGAGAUAAUACCAGGAGGAGCGGGGCAGGACAGAGAUGCUAAAGGCCUCCAAGGUCAAGCUAUUGGGCUUGGACUUAGGCCUCCUGAAGUGGGAAGUCUAGCGAAGCCUUCAGAUGAUCCUGACUAUGGCGUUGCAGAUGGAGUGAUACCGAGAGCGAGAGCUCCUCACAGAAACCGAGCUUUUUUUGUGGGCAGUCUAACUCAGCACCUGUGUGCAUGCUGCGUCUGAGUGUGUAUGGUAGUGUGUGUGUUAAGGGUGGACCCACUGCCUCCGCGAGAGGGAAUUCAAUCAUUGCAAUCGUUGCCGGUCCUCCGUGGCACAGGGUCGCUCAGCAAGCUGGCACUGGAAUAUUUUGAGCUUGCGGUAAUGAAAGAAAGCUCACAGCAAUUUGGCCCAUCUUCAGUCUUGAAAGCCGCAGCGCGACAUUCAGUCAUCGGAGGCUGGGAUUAUCCAACGCUAAUGGGGGCUGCUGCUCUCAGGCCGGUGAGGGAAAGGAGGGCUCAGAGAGGUUAAGUGACUUGCCCAGCAUCACAGGAUGGGUAAUGGGAGGGCAAAGUCCGAGGCGCAGUUUGGCCUCUUCCCCUCCCCCAAGGCAACCCGGCUCCCCAGAAUGGAUCUUUGCUGAGUUUCCUGAGCGCUGGUUUCCAUAGCAGCAGGCCAUUCCUGCACAAUAGAUUCCUCCUCUUCCCUGGGCUUCCUGGCUGUGGAGGCUGCAGGGGCGGGGAUGCUCCAUCGUAGGGGACUGUUGGGUGCAGGCUUCCAGGAGUGAAAAGGGCCACUUGGGCGGCUUGGGGGCCUCCAGCCCUCACAGAAACCCCACCUCCGUCCCACACCGUGUUCAGGGUUUCUAUUUCCACUCCGGAGUUGGGU
rnacentral:lncRNA from 1 species